rnacentral:rRNA from 1 species
GCAAUGCCGCGUGCGGGAAGAAGGCCAUCGGGUUGUAAACUGCUUUUGUACGGAGAGAAAAGGCUCUCUCUAAUACAGGGGGGGCAUGACGGUACCGUACGAAUAAGCACCGGCUAACUACUUGCCAGCAGCCGCGGUAAUACGUACGGUGCAAGCGUUAAUCGGAAUUACUGGGCGUAAAGCGUGCGCAGGCGGUUUUGUAAGACAGGCGUGAAAUCCCCGGGCUCAACCUGGGAAUGGCGCUUGUGACUGCAAAGCUGGAGUGCGGCAGAGGGGGAUGGAAUUCCGCGUGUAGCAGUGAAAUGCGUAGAUAUGCGGAGGAACACCAAUGGCGAAGGCAAUCCCCUGGGCCUGCACUGACGCUCAUGCACGAAAGCGUGGGGAGCACACAGGAUUAGAUACCCUUGUACUCCAAUUCUU